CCUACGGGAGGCAGCAGUAGGGAAUAUUGCUCAAUGGGGGAAACCCUGAAGCAGCAACGCCGCGUGGAGGAUGAAGGUUUUCGGAUUGUAAACUCCUUUUGUUAGAGAAGAUAAUGACGGUAUCUAACGAAUAAGCACCGGCCAACUCCGUGCCAGCAGCCGCGGUAAUACGGAGGGUGCAAGCGUUACUCGGAAUCACUGGGCGUAAAGGGCGCGUAGGCGGGAUAGCAAGUCAGAUGUGAAAUCCUAUGGCUUAACCAUAGUACUGCAGUUGAAACUGUUAUUCUAGAGUAUGGGAGAGGUAGGUGGAAUUCGUGGUGUAGGGGUAAAAUGCGUAGAGAUCAAGAGGAAUACUGAUGGCGAAGG
rnacentral:rRNA from 1 species